AGUAGCCACAAAAAGGGAAGCAAAAUGAUCAACGGAUUUGGUAUAAUUUUGUUUUAAGGGUGAGGUGUGUUCCAACAGAGAAGUUUUCAAAGGGUGAUCUCCCUCUUCAAUAUAAAGGGGAACUUGUCUCAGAGGAUGAAGGUUAUCAAAGAGAAGAUUUGCAUGUGGAAGAACUAAGAAGCUUUCUCUUCUUUUUUAAGGAUGGAUUCAAGUGUUUACGCCUUGAUGCAACAUUCUCUGCUGGACUUGGAAGACUUAAAAACGAUAAUCCAUUAAAUAAAGCAAAUGAGAAAGAUUAACGGUGAAGACAAAGUGUGCCUUGCCCUUUGUGGACUUCGGAACGGUGAAGGUCUACACUGUGACCAUGAAGUUAGAGAUCUUCCCAGGCGACAGCUAAAAGGUAAUGAGAGCAAGGCAGAUGGACUAAAGAAUGGGACAGUAAGGUGCAACACAAAAAAGAAGAAAAUAUGAACAAGGGCAACAGCAGUCCUGACAAUGAUGAAAGUUUCCACAUGGAUGUAACAACAAAUUCUGAAGAGAUUUACUCCCUGAAUCAGAUCAAUGACUGUCUAUUUGCAGACUCCUUGGAAACUGGGGAAAGAAAUCUACAUCUCCAGUUCCUUCUUCUUACAACGGUGGAAUAAUGCAUCACAGAGAAAUGCACCUGAAAAAGUCCUUCAUUUUGUGUCAGGUAA